rnacentral:rRNA from 1 species
UACGGAGGGUGCAAGCGUUAUCCGGAUUCACUGGGUUUAAAGGGUGCGUAGGUGGGCAAGUAAGUCAGUGGUGAAAUCUCCGGGCUUAACCCGGAAACUGCCAUUGAUACUAUUUGUCUUGAAUACUGUGGAGGUCAGCGGAAUAUGUCAUGUAGCGGUGAAAUGCUUAGAUAUGACAUAGAACUCCAAUUGCGAAGGCAGCUGGCUACACAAAUAUUGACACUGAGGCACGAAAGCGUGGGGAUCAAACAGG